rnacentral:rRNA from 1 species
GAUGAACGCUGGCGGCGUGCCUAAUACAUGCAAGUCGAGCGAACGGACGAGAAGCUUGCUUCUCUGAUGUUAGCGGCGGACGGGUGAGUAACACGUGGAUAACCUACCUAUAAGACUGGGAUAACUUCGGGAAACCGGAGCUAAUACCGGAUGAUAUUUUGAACCGCAUGGUUCAAAAGUGAAAGACGGUCUUGCUGUCACUUAUAGAUGGAUCCGCGCUGCAUUAGCUAGUUGGUAAGGUAACGGCUUACCAAGGCAACGAUGCAUAGCCGACCUGAGAGGGGGAUCGGCCACACUGGAACUGAGACACGGUCCAGACUCCUACGGGAGGCAGCAGUAGGGAAGCUUCCGCAAUGAGCGAAAGCCUGACGGAGCAACGCCGCGUGAGUGAUGAAGGUCUUCGGAUCGUAAAACUCUGUUAUUAGGGAAGAACAUAUGUGCAAGUAACUGUGCACAUCUUGACGGUACCUAAUCAGAAAGCCACGGCUAACUACGUG